CCCCAAUCAGGCCUCACCUGGCCCUCUUAUAAGGGCUCAGGGAGGAACUGGGUCAGGAUUCUCCCUCCAACUUCAGAGAGAUGGACCUAGCUGCCUGGGAGCUGGGGGUGCAGGCAACCGAGCAGGGCUGGGGAAAGGACUUUUUCACACUAGGCAGCCUUAAGUAGAUGACAGUCCCUGAGGCUAAACUUGAAAGAUGUUUCUCUUCUGCUCCACAGCGUGUACUGGAAAGAAAGCUUUGGCUAUAUGUGUUUCCAAAGAACUGAAGAGAUUUCCUGCUGACCAAAGCUUGAUGCACGUCUGACUAGGGGCUCAGUUCAACAAAGCAUGUAUGAAGAGAGCCUGAGGUUAAAAAUUGUUCUUGGAUUUAGAAAUGAAGUCAGCUGAGAAACUCCAGUCUGAAUUACCUUUCCCAGUGAAGUGAACAGCAUCUUAUUCUCAAAAUUGACUAUUCAAUUUUAUUUUUAAAAAAUGAAGUGUUUAAAAACAACGUACUCAAUUUAGUUUUGGAUUGUGCUGAAUGAAACACUUUGACCUAUUUCAUUUGACUAAAAUGUAACUUUUCAACUUUUUUAAUUUGCCAAAAAUCUCCCCAAAAUUCUUAGGUUGACCUCAAACUGUUUUUUUUAAAUUUUCCAGAACUAUCAACAAAACAAAUCUGUUUGCACAGCUAUAGUUACGUUUAGUAGGAAUAAAGAGAUUUUGAUGAAUA